UGGGGAAUAUUGGACAAUGGGCGAAAGCCUGAUCCAGCCAUGCCGCGUGUGUGAAGAAGGUCUUCGGAUUGUAAAGCACUUUAAGUUGGGAGGAAGGGCAUUAACCUAAUACGUUAGUGUUUUGACGUUACCGACAGAAUAAGCACCGGCUAACUCUGUGCCAGCAGCCGCGGUAAUACAGAGGGUGCAAGCGUUAAUCGGAGUUACUGGGCGUAAAGCGCGCGUAGGUGGUUUGUUAAGUUGGAUGUGAAAUCCCCGGGCUCAACCUGGGAACUGCAUUCAAAACUGACUGACUAGAGUAUGGUAGAGGGUGGUGGAAUUUCCUGUGUAGCGGUGAAAUGCGUAGAUAUAGGAAGGAACACCAGUGGCGAAGGCGACCACCUGGACUAAUACUAACACUGAGGUGCGAAAGCGUGGGGAGCAAACA
rnacentral:rRNA from 1 species